GAAGGCUGAAAUUCGCCUUCAUGAAGCUGGAAUUGCUAGUAAUGGCAGGUCAGCAUGCUGCGGUGAAUACGUUCCCGGGCCUUGUACACACCGCCCGUCACACCAUGGGAGUCGGUAACACCCAAAGUUGGUAGCCUAACCGCAAGGAGGGCGCCGCCUAAGGUGGGAUUGAUGACUGGGGUGAAGUCGUAACAAGGUAUC
rnacentral:rRNA from 1 species